rnacentral:lncRNA from 1 species
GUUAAAAUGUCAUAGGUGUAGUACUGCCCCCACCACACAGCUUGGGAUGGGGGUGGAGGGGCAAGUCAUAGGCAGAGAGCCAAAUAAGCUUCCACAGCCAUGUGAUGGCAGAGAAAGCUGGGACAUGUAAUUCAACAGGAUUGAGAUGAACGUGUGAGAAGAGAGUCAUAAGAAACAGUGUUUGGCUAGUAAAGCCUAACAUCCUCCCAUCACCUGUGCUGGACUAGGAAACUCAGGCCACUUAUGCCCUGCGAAGGAAAACCUCUUCACUCGCUCUGUGCACAAAUUAAAUGAGUACUCCUAAGAUACCUGUGAGAAGCAGAGAUUCCGGAGCAGCAUGAGUCACAAUCGGCUUGAGUACUCCAAGGACCCAAGUGAAUGUAAUAGACUAGAUGCCAAGCUACCAUGGAUAUUUUGCCAUGAAUGGAAAUGUCCUUGCUAUUUUCUUGCUUGGGGAGCCAACAAGGGGAGGCACCCCCUUGGCUGCAAGUUGCUUGAAAAGUUCCUUCGCAUAGACUGCCAGCAAUCUGACCUCAAGGAUGGAAGAAUACCGAGCCCUAAAGGUUUUUGCAUUUGCUGGAAUCCAAUGAUUAGGCUUAUUCUCUGGUGCUUGAUGAUAUCCAUUUCUAUUUCAAGAUGCUUAAAUCACUCUUUUGUUCAUUCUGCCGUGUAACUAGGGCACAUGCUAAGACUGUUGUUUGGGGUAGGCGUCCUUUCUUUUGGCCUUGUGGAGUCAAACAACCCGCUAAGGAAGGCGUUGGUCAGACUUCUGAUUAGCCCAAUCUCUAGAUGCCCCCAUCUCUAAACCUCAUUUCAGGUACUCAGAAUAGCCUACCCCCCAACAAUGUUAUUUUUUCUUAUCUGACAAGCAUUUAUUUUCUCUCCCUUUUAUAUCCCCUCCCCAAAUGAAAAAAGAAGAAAAACAAAAACCUUGUAAUAAAUAUGCAUGGCUAUGUCUAAAAAUGUUUGUC